GGCCUAUUGAAAAUAAUUUUAGGUCUGACCUGCCCAAUGAUUGAUUGAAUGGCCGCGGUAUUCUAACCGUGCAAAGGUAGCAUAAUCAUUAGUUUUUUAAUUGAAAGCUGGAAUGAAGGGUUUGAUGAGAAAAUUUCUGUCUCUAUAAAAUUUUUUUAGAAAUUUAUUUUUAAGUUAAAAAGCUUAAAUGAUUAUGGAAGACGAGAAGACCCUAUAGAGUUUUAUAUUUUUAAGCUAAUAGAAAUUUAAGGUUUACAAAUUAUAUUAGUGAAAAGAGUAUUAUAUUGGGGUGAUGGAAAAAUUAAGUUAACUUUUUCUGUAUUUAAACAUUUAUAAAUGAGUAUUUGAUCCUUUAAUUAAGAUUAAAAGAUUAAAUUACCUUAGGGAUAACAGCGUAAUUUUUUUUAGAGUUCUUAUCGAAAAAAAAGUUUGCGACCUCGAUGUUGGAUUAAAAUAAAUUAUUGGUGAAGAAGCUAAAUAAUUAGGUCUGUUCGACCUUUAAAAUUUUACAUGAUCUGAGUUUAAACCGGUGUGAG
rnacentral:rRNA from 1 species